UUCGUCUCCCAUUUUCUUUUAUUUUCUUCUUCUUCAUUUUUUUUAUGUGCUCGAAUCACUUUCGGGUGUGUUUGGAUGCUCAAUUGAUAUGCAUUGCAAUAACCCGAAUUGGAAAGUAAGUCCAAAUUGAAGUUCAGUUGUGGUCUUGGAUUAAAAUGGCUCCAUGAACACUUGGUAUUUCUUCUUAUCAGGUUGUUUUAUCAGGAUUCGGUUAACUCGUGAAUCCAAACACAACCUCAUUUGAACUGCAAACAGUCACUGAUGUUUUUGUUGUAUCCACAAUGAGGAAGCAACCUUGAAUUGCAGUUUUCUAAGUCCAACUUGAAGUGAUGUUGUUGCAAUUUGGAGCUUAGACUAGGGUGCAAAUGGCUUGUGUUGGGUCGGGUUGAGGGGAGUUCCAAAGCUGACCAAAUUAACAAUCGGGUCUAGAUUUCAGCCCUUGACACAGUGGUUUGGGUCUGGUCAAAGUCCAAAUAGGUUGGGUUUUGGUCGGGUUUGGGUUAGAUCCUUAGCUAAGAGAGUCCAGGCUCGACUCAUUUAUCCAUGGUUAGGGUCUCAGUCGCAGUGGUCUAAGAAGCACCUGGCUACCUAUUUUCUUUGGAUAGCUUUUUACAUUUUAGUCAGCUGACAAAGUUAACCAUCGGGUCUAGAUUUCAGCAGGGUGACUCUGGUUUGGGUCUGGUCCAAGUCCAAAUAAAGUUGGGUUUAUGUCUGGUGUGGGUUGGGUCUAGGCUAAGAGAAUCCAAAACUGACCUUUUUUAUCCGUGGGUAGGGUCUAAGUUCUUUUCCCCCCUUCUAAUUUCUAGUUUCCUACUUGACUUAGAUUCCUUGUCAGGCAUCUAUACGCAUAUUUUCUUUAGGUAGGUUUUUACAUUUUAGUCAGCUGACUGAGUUAAGAAUUGGGUUUAGAUUUCAACCCCGGAAACUGUGGUUUAGUUUUGGUACAAGUCCAAAUAAGUUGGGUUUUUGUUAGGCCUAGGCCAAGCAUGGUAUUAAAAAAUGGGUAUGUAACAGCUGUAACGUAAUGGUUAUGGUGCGACCCAUUACACCAUAUGGAGUUGUAACGCUGUUCUGAAAAAAAGGCCCAUAGUGGACUUGUAACAGCUGUUACGGGUCCAUAAUGGGCCGAUACAUUUCCUUCCUUUCAAAAUUUUUUUUGACCGUUACAGGGCAGUAAUGUAAUGGCCGUAAGGCUGGCCAUUAUGUCGACUGUUUCCAUUUAUUGAAUGCCUUGAUGGCUAGGCUAAGAGAAUCCAGACCCAACCUUUCGUCCAUGGCCAUAGUGUGGGGUGCUUGAUUCGGGGUUGUAGUGUCCAGGCCUGGGUAACUAUUUACGAAAAACACAUCUCCGCAAAGACUCCUUGUCAAGCACCCAUCUAUGUAAUCUCUCUGGAUUGGUUUUUACAUUUUAGUCAGCUGACUGAGUUAAUGAUUGGGUCUAGAUUUCAGCCCCGGGCACUCUGGUUUGGGUCUGGUCCAAGUCCAAAUAGGUUGGGUCACGAGGCUACGAGAAUCCUGACCCAUCUAUCCAUGGGUAGGGUCUAAGUUGUAUUGGUCUAAUUUCUAAUUUCCUACUUGAGAUGGACUCUUUGCAAAGCACCUGUCUAUGUAUUUUCUUUAGAAAGUUUUUACAUUUUACUCAGCUGACUGAGUUAAUGAUCAGGUCUAGGUUUCAGCCCCAGACACUGGUUUGGGUCUUGUUGAAGUUCAAAAUAAGUUGGGUUUAGGUCAGGUCUAGGUUGGCUCUAGGCUAAGAGAAUCCACACCCAGCCCAUUUACCCAUAUGUAGAGUCAAGGUGUGUUGGAUGUUGGUCUAAUUUGUAAUUUCCCACUUGACUUGGACUCCUUGACCUGCCCCUGUCUACAGAUUUUUUAUUUUUAGAUAGAUUUUUCAUUUUAGUCAGUUGGUGGAGUGAAUGACUGGGCCUAGAUUUCAACCCCGGACACUCUGAUUUGCGUCUGGGGGUCCAGUCCAAAUAAGUUGGUUUCGGUCAGGUCUGGGUUGGGUCUAGGUUAAGAGCAUCCAGACCCGAACCAUUUAUCCAUGCAUAGGGAUUAAGUUGCGCUGUUCUCAUUUCUAGUUUCCUACUUGAUCUACACUCCCAGUCAACCACUGUCUAGGCAUUUCUUUAGAUAGGUUUUUACAAUUUAGUCACCUGACCAUGUUAAAGAUGGGGGCUUGAUUUUAGCCCCAGUCACUCUGAUCUGUGUCUGGUCUAAAUCCAAGUCAGCUGGGUUUUGGUCAGCUCUGGUUUGGGUCUAGGCUAAGAGAAUCCAAAUCUGACCCAUUUAUAUAUGUAUAGGUUCUAAGUUGUGUUGGCCUAUUUUCUAAUUUCCUCCUUGGACUCCUUGUCAAGCACCCAUCCAUGUAUUUCCUUUAUUUAGGUUUUUACAUUUUAGUCACCUGACCAAGUUAACGAUCGGUUCUAGAUUUCAGCCCCAGACACUCCAGUUUGGGUCUGUUCCAAGUUCAAAUAUAUUUCGGUUUAGGUUGGGUCUAGGUUUCAUCUAGGCUAAGAGAAUCAUGUCCCGUUUAUUCUUGGGUAGGGUCUAAAUUGUGUUGGUCUUAUUCCUAAACUUGAUCUAGACUCCUUGUCAAGCACCUGUCUAUGUAUUUUCUAUAGAUAGGUUUUUACAUUUUAGUCAUCUGACCAAGUCAAUGAGAUCUUGAUUUCACCCCCAGAGACUGGCUUGGGUAUGGUCCAAGUCCAAAUAAGUUGGGUUUAGGUCAGGUCUGGGUUGGGUCUAGGCUAAGAGAACCCUGACCGGUUUAUCCAUGGGAAGGGUUUAAAUUGUGUUGGUCAAAUUUGUAGUUUCCUACUUGACUUGGACUCCUUGUCAAGCACCUGUCUAUGUAUUUUCUUAGAUAGGUUUUUACAUUUUAGUCACCUGACCGAGUUACUGACGAGGUCUAGAUUUCAGCCCAGGACACCAUGGUUUGGGUCUGGUGCAACUCCAAACAAGUUGGUUUUGGGUCUGGUGUGAGUUGUGUCUAGGCUAAAAAGAAUCCAGACUUGACCUAUUUAUCCAUGGGUGGGGUCUGAGUUGUGUGGGUCUAUUUUCUAGUUUCCUAAUUGACUUAAGACUCCUUGUCAAGCGCCCGUUACCUAUUUUCUGUAGAUAGGUUUUCAUGGUUUAGUCAUCUGAUCGAGUUGACAAUUGGGUCUAGAUUCCAGCCCUGGACACUCUGGUCUGAGUCUGGUUCAAGUCUGUAUAAAUUGGGUUUAGGUCAGGUUGAGGUCAGCUAUUGGCUAAGAGAAUCCAGAACCAAUCCAUUUAUCCAUGUGUAGGGUCUAAGUUGCAUUAAUCUAAUUUCUUGUUUUCUACUUAAGACUCCUCGUCAAACACCCAUCUACAUGCUUUCUUUAGAUAGGUGUUUACAUUUUAGUCAGCUGCCUUAAUUGCCUUAGUUGAAAGAUUUUAAGGGACAUUCUUUUUAAACAUCUGGGUUGCUUAUGAGUUUGGACUAUUUUUGGGUGGUCUGGAUUUGACCCAUUUAAAAGCCAGGUAUGAGGUGGAUCAGAUCGGGUGAACUUUCAGAGGCUGAAACCUGAUCCAUUUGAUAACCAAGAUUGACCCAUGCAGUAUCUAGACCUGUCAUUGGGUUGACCCCUCUGUACCCCCUAGUUUAGACCAUCAAUACAGAUACUAUGGAUGGAAAUAAAAAUGUGGUCAUUUUCACCUUGUUAUAACAGUAAUUGCAAUUCGCUUCAUGUCAGCACACCCUUGAUGCAUUGAGAGGUGAUUCAUUGUUUGUAGAGGAAUGACUCUUUUUUUUUUUUAAUGUCACCACACCUGCAACUUUCAGUCCACUUCCAUGGGUGAAUUUUCAGCCAUCAGGUGUAGCUGGUUUUGUUAGGGUAAGAAACGGCUUAAAUGGUUCCUCCUCCGACACUUCUCCUUUCACCCUGCAAAUUCAAACUGGUGGUUGUAGAUGUUAGGAGAUUUUCUCUCAACAUUCUUUAGACUUUAGAUGGUUCUUUUUAGGGUUGGGUUAACCUGGAGAGUGUCUCAAUAUUUAAUAAUCAAAUUAAAUUGUAUUUAGAUUAGAGAAAUGCUGCACUGAUCUCAGCGCACUAUAAGUUAUAGUGCUCCUAGCUCCAAUGGGCUGCCUAGACACUUCAAUCAAUUGAUCACUGUUCAUUAGAUCCAAUGCAUAUUUACAUGGGCUACCAUGGAAACAUCACACUGAUCUGACAAAUAUUAGCCAUUGUUUUGAUCAAUGGCCUUAAACAUGGAUGAUGGAUCGUUAAUAUCAUUGACAAAAAAAUAGGUUCAAUCAAUAAUAUGAUCCAUCUAUUUGUUAGGGACCAUCAUAGAUUGCUUAUGACUCUAAAGAAUUGAUUUUGUUAGUCGAUUGUAGCCAUUCCAUCCAUGGCUUGGAAAAAGGAUGGCCACAGAAAAUAAGGCCAAAUUAAAUGGAUUAGAUCAUCCAAUCAGUGUGCUUUUUGCAAGGUAGCCUAUAUAUUGCUUUGAGAGCACUUGGAGCGCUUCUCCGAUCUAAAUACUACAAAAUUUAAUUAUUAAAUAUCGAGUUGACUCGAGCAGUAUUGAUGUGUUUAACUCCCUCGGAGGUUGGGUGUUCGACUUGAGUCUUGCUCGAUAGUGAGUUUUUUGGCGACUCAGCCCAAAAUCUCAUCAAGUCGAGUUGGCUCAGCGGAGUUUUGAGUCAAGUCACUGAGUUUUAGAACAAUGGUUCUGAAAUGAACAAUUGGAUGCUAUUUAGAUCUUGUUGUGCUCUGAUUUCUCCGCCAGUGCUUAUGGCGGGUCAAUGUAUCGAGUCAAGACCUUCCAUCUAGUGGUUGUACCAUGAAUGGCAAAUAUAUAAAGAUACCCAUGUUUCAGACGAUCCAUCUAUCUAAUCAGUUUCCUCCAUAGCUACUGUAGAAAAUGGAACUAGUUAAUGGCCCAACAAUGAACGUUGAACAGUGAAGGAAAAAAAUGUGAGUUAGGAGUGUCCGAUUUUGUGAUGGUCAAAACCAAGGUAUUCCGUAACAGUAACAAUGGCUGUGAUGGGCAUCACUGUUACUUUUACGAUAUGGGUUGUAACUGCUGUUAUGGUUUCUCUCUUCUUCUUUUUUUU